AUUGAACGCUGGCGGCAGGCCUAACACAUGCAAGUCGAACGAGUGGCGGACGGGUGAGUUAUGUCUUGGAAACUGCCUUAUGGAGGGGGAUCACCACUGGAAACGGUAUCUAAUACCGUAUACCCUCAGAAGUGCACAGAUGGGAUUGGCUUGUUUGUGGGGUAACGGCUCACCAAGGCGACGAUCCCUAGCUGGUCUGAGAGGAUGACCAGCCACACUGGAACUGAGACACGGCCCAGACUCCUACGGGAGGCAGCAGUGGGGAAUAUUGCACAAUGGGCGCAAGCCUGAUGCAGCCAUGCCGCGUGUAUGAAGAAGGCCUUCGGGUUGUAAAGUACUUUCAGCGGGGAGGCGUUACCCGCAGAAGAAGCACCGGCUAACUCCGUGCCAGCAGCCGCGGUAAUUC
rnacentral:rRNA from 1 species